UACGGAGGAGGCAAGCGUUAUCCGGAAUUAUUAGGCGUAAAGCGUCCGCAGGUGGCGAUUCAAGUCUGCGGUCAAAGACUGGGGCUUAACCCUGGAAAGGCCGUGGAAACUGAAUAGCUAGAGUGCAGUAGGGGUAGAGGGAAUUCCCGGUGUAGCGGUGAAAUGCGUAGAGCUCGGGAAGAACAUCGGUGGCGAAAGCGCUCUGCUGGACUGCAACUGACACUCAGGGACGAAAGCUAGGGGAGCGAAUGGG
rnacentral:rRNA from 1 species